rnacentral:tRNA from 1 species
UCCUCCGUGGCGCAAUUGGCUAGCGCGUCUGACUGUUAUUCGACUUUCGGAUCUCAAAAAUCAGGAGGUUGGUGGUUCGAGCCCACCCGGGGGAG